rnacentral:rRNA from 1 species
UACAGAGGUCCCAAGCGUUGUUCGGAUUCAUUGGGCGUAAAGGGUGUGUAGGUGGCGCCGUAAGUCGGGUGUGAAAUCUCGGGGCUUAACUCCGAAACUGCAUUCGAUACUGCCGUGCUUGAGGACUGGAGAGGAGACUGGAAUUUACGGUGUAGCGGUGAAAAUUGCGUAGAUAUCGAUAAGGAAGACCAGUGGCGAAGGCGGG